GAGUCUCGCUAUUUUAGGCUCUUCUGAGAUGGCUUGCCUUCCAGCUCUGGCCUGGUUUUGAGGCAAAGAAGGAGUCGCCACCUGCCACCCACUCUGGAGGCUGGAGCCUGCAGUAUCUUGGCUCACCUCGCUGUUGCAGUUGGUGGCGGUGACGGAGACUACAGCGCAGCCUGAAAGGUUUUUUGGCUUUGCCAACCCAGCUGCUCCAUGCUAGGAGAAGGAAGAGCCACCUGCCGCAUGCUACAGGCUGGAGGCUAUGGCAACACAGCUCGCCUGGCUGUGGCUGGGGGCAGUGAUGGAGACUGCAGAGCACCAGAAAGGCUCCACCCUGUACAAGCAGUCAUCAGGACCCUCCUUCUCCCUGGCCACAGCUGCUGCCCCUGAGAAGCCAGGCCCCAAGUCAGCAGAAGUGGGCAAUGACUUCCUGGGGGACUUUAUGGUGGGCAACCAGUCUGGUGUGAAGCCAGAUAUGGUGCAGUACCUGGGUGAGAUGCAGUUGGCACCAGGCCAGUGGGCCUGUGUGGUGCUGGAUGACCCAGUGGGCAAGAAUGAUGGUGUGGUGAGCAGUGUGCACUACUUCAAGUGCCCAGCCCUCCAGAGCAUCUUCAUGUGGCCCUUCCAGCUGCCCUGGCAGCCCAUGGCUGAGGACUUGGGUAGUGAUGCCCACUCUGUGGAGUUGCUGACUACCCAGAACCUGUCACUGCAUUUGGGCAUGGCCAUGCUCCUGCUAAGCAGCCACAUCAUCCUGCUGCAGGAGAGCAUCCUCAACAACUCCAUGAAGGUGGUCAAUGAGUGGGGCUCCCACCUCUAGGACAGUGGCUCUGUGAAGCUGGGCAAUAAGGACCUGUGCCUGGGGGACUGCGUGCUGGUGACUAUGGUCUUGCUGGGCAAGUGCUGUGACAUCCCCGCCAGCAGCUGUGGACUUAACCGCUGGAACUCUGCUUUCUCCCUCAAAGACGAGAUCAUCAUUAGUCUCAUGUCUGCCUUAGACUCCAUGGUCUCGCUCUGUUGCCCAGGCUCGAGUGCAGUUGUGUAAUCACAGCUCCCUGCAGCCUCAGCCUUCUGGUCUCAAAGGAUCCUCCCACCUCGGCCUCCUGAGUAACUGGAACUACAGCAAAUACCACCAUGGAGCAUUACUCAGUGAUGAAAAGGAAUGAGGCUCUGCCACAGGACACAGCGUGGAUGCACCUUGAGGACAUCAUGCUCUGCUAAAGGACCCAUACACAGAAGACCCCACAGUGUGUGAUCCCAUCUCUAUGAAAUGUCUGGGACAGGCCCAUACACAGAAGGGGAUGUGAGGGUGGCGGGGCUGCGGGAGGGAGACGGGCAGUGACUGUUUAGGGUGACACAGGGCUUCUAUUAGAGGUGAUAGGAUGUUCUAGAAUUAGAUAAAGGUGAUGGUUGCUCAAUUCUGUGCAUGUGCUAAAAACCAUUGACUUGCACUUUUGUUUCUUGAGAUCGAGUCUCACUGUGUUGCCCAGGUUGGAGUGCAGUGGUGCAAUCUCAGCUCACUGCAACCUCUGUCUCCUGGGUUCAAGCAAUUCUCCUACCUCAGCCUCCGGAGUAGCUAAGAUUGCAGGCACUUGCCACUAUGCCUGGCUAAUUUUUCCAUUUUUAGUAGAGAUGAGCUUUCACCACAUUGGCCAGGCUGGUCUGAAACUCCUGAUCUCAGGCAAUCUCCCCAACUCAGCCUCCCAAAGUGCUAGGAUUAUAGGUGUGAGCCAUUGCACCCAGCCACAUUGCACAUUUUUAAAGGGUGAAUUUUAUGGUGUGUAAAUUAUGUCUCAAUAAAGCUAUUAAAGAAAAAACUUUGGAAUGAAAGAAAGGUGGACACCCCUGUACUCUGGCUACAGGGCACCAUUCCACCUCCUCUCUCUGCAGGCACUGCCCCCUCACGAACCUCUGCCCUGAUCCCCCAUCCCACACCCCAGAGCUGUGCCCAUGUGCUAGGAAACCUGCCACCCCAGGGGCCAAUCCAGCCUCAGACUAACAGGAUCUGAAAAAAGGCAAAGCCCACUGGGGGUAGUGGCUCACGCCAGUAAUCCCAGCACUUUGGGAGGCCAAGGCAGGCAGAUCACAAGGUAUGAGAUGGAGACCAUCCUGGCAAACAAGGUGAAACCCUGUCUCUAAACAAACAAGCAAACAAGCAACAACAAAAAAAGGCAAAGCUGCAGAACCAUUUUCAAUCAAAGCAAGUUAGAAAGCACUAGGGGGCCAGGUGCCAUGGCUCAUGCCUGUAAUUUCAGCACUUUGGGAGGCCAAGAAGGCAGAUUACCUGAGGUCGGGAGUUUGAGACCAGCCCUACCAAGAUGGAGGAACCCUGUCUCUACUAAAAAUACAAAAUUACCCAGGUGUAGUGGCACUCACCUGUACACUCAGCUACUCAGGAGGCUACAGCAAGAGAAUCAUUCGAACCUGGGGGACAGAAGUUGCAGUGAGCUGAGAUCCCACCAUUGCACUCCAGCCUUGGCAAUAAGAGCUAGACUCCAUCUCAAAAAAAAAAAAAAAAGAAAUUGCUUUCUUGCCCUUUGCUGAGUUUGAGUGUCAAGUGUUGAGCCAGACAUAGCUGGGUCAGUGCCAGAGUCAGGGUUGUCUCCAGGGGUCCUGGCAAUUUCCUGCCAAACCUUCAUGUCAGACCUCAUGCCCCCCUGGGGCCCCUUGGGUUUGGAGCUGCCUUGCCAUUGAGGAUUCAAGGUGUGUGGUAGGAACAGGGACCCAGGCCACCCUCUGGUGGCCUCAGCCUGCCCAGCUUUGUCACUUGAACCUGUCAAGAUACAAGCAAUGUGCACAUUUCACCAAAAAGCUUGCUCCUGGCCAGAACAUCCCUUAGACCAGGGUCUCUCAGUCUCAGCACCACUGACAUCAGGGUCAGACUGUUGUCAAAAAGAGGUCGUCUAUAUUUUUUUUCGAAAUGGAGUCUUCUUCUGUUACCCAGGCUAGAGUGCAGUUGUCCCCCUCUGCUCACUGCAAUCUCUACCUCCUGAGUUCAAGUGAUGCUCCUGCCUCAGUCUCCUGAGUAGCUGGAAUUAAAGCCACAUACCACCAAGCCUGGUUUAUUUUUGAUAUUUUAGGUGGAGACAGGGCUUCACUAUGGGAGCUCUCUGCAGCCUCAAACUCCUGAGCUCAAGCAAUUCUCUUGCUUCAGCCUCCUGAGUGGCUGAGACUACAGGUGCCCACCACUGGCCCCAUGCAAGUGACACUGCCAUCAGAUUGUUGGUUCUAGAAUCUAGAGUAAAGUCCCCACCCCAAACCAGCCCUGCCUCCACCUCAUCAUCAAGCUCCAAGGGACAUGCAGCCUCCUAAAGGCUCCCAAGAUCAGGGGCCAGAAGCCCAUACCCAACCAAAAUUGCUUUCUUUCUUUUUUUUUUUUGUGAGAUGAAGUUUCACUCUUGUUACCCAGGCUGGAGUGCAAUGGCAUAAUCUCAGCUCACUGCAACCUCUGCCUCCCAGGUUCAAAUGAUUCUCCUGCCUCAGCCUCCCAAGAAGCUGGGAUGACAGGCACACCACCAUAUCUGGCUUAUUUUGUAUUUUUAGUAGAUAUGGGUUUCACUGUGUUGGCCAGGCUGGUCUCCAACUCCUGACCUCAGGUGAUUCACCAGCCUUGGAUUCCCAUAGUGCUGGGAUUACAGGUGUGAGCCACUGUGCCUGGUGAGAAUUGCUUUACGAUUCUGCUUUCCUUCCUGAGAUGAUCAUGGAAUAUGUGGAAAUUAAACAAGAUGCUCUUCAACUGCCAAUGGGCCCAAGACAGAACCACAAGGGAAAUUAGAAAUUACCCCAACGUGAAGGAAGGAAGACAGAAAUGCAACCUAACCACAAUGUAUGGGAUAUGGCACAGGCAGUGCUGAGAGCAGCUGCUGCCUGUGAUCCCCUGCAAAAGGAAGAGAUAAAGAUCUCAACUCCACAACUUUACCUUACACCUUAAGGCAAGGAUCCCCAACCCCUGAGUCACAGACCUGUACCACCAUUCCGUGGCCUGUUAGGAGCCAGCCUGUACAGCAGCAGGUGAGAGGUGGUCGAGUGAGUGAAGGAUCUUCUGUAUUUAUUUUUCUUUUUGAGAUGGAGUUUCACUCUGCUACCCAGGCUGGAGUGCAGUGGUGCAAUCUCUGCUCACUGCAACCUCCGCCUCCUGGGUUCAAGUGAUUCUCCUGUCUCAGUCUCCCAAGUAGCUAGAAAUACAGGCCCCCACCACCAUGCCCAGCUAAUUUUUGUGUUUUUAGAAGAGACAGAGUUUCAUCAUGUUGGCCAGGCUGGUCCCGAACUCCUGACCUCAAGUGAUCUUCCUGCCUCAGCCUCCCAAAGUGUUGGGAUGACAGGUGUGAGCCACAGUGCCUGGCCCAGGGACCAUCUCAUUGCAGAAAACAAGCUCCAGGCUCCCACUGAUCUUACAUUAUGGUGAGUUGUGGAAUUAUUUUAUUAUGUAUUACAAUGUUAAUAACAGAAUUAAAGUGCACAAUAAAAGUAAUGCACUGGAAUCAUCCCCAAACCAUCCUCCCUGCUCCCCAACACCUGCCUUCCCACUGUCCUAGGAAAAACUGUCUUCCAGGAAACCAUUCUCUGCUGCCAAAAAGGUUGAGGAGUGCUUGCCUUAAGGAACCAGAAAAGGAAGAACAAAAGUAGCCCCAAGCCAGCAGAAGGAAGGAAAUUGUAAAGAUCAGAGCAGUGAUAAUGAGACAGAAAUAAGAAAAACUGUCCAAUUGAUGAAACCAAAUUGGUUCUUUGAAAAGUGCUAUGAGAUUGACAAACCUGUAGUGGGCUGACCAAAAGCAAAGCAAAACUAAACUAAACAACAACAAAAAGGAAAUAAGCCACAAAUAAUCCAAGCAGAAACAAAAGGGGGAUGUUACUACCAACCUUAUGGAAAUAAAAAGCAUGAUCAGAGAGGACUGCAGUAUUAUGUACCAGUGUAGGACACCCAAUGAGAUCAUCUACAUUAAAUAGGCAAAUUCUUAGAAAAACAGAAAUGAAAGAGUUCAGAUGUGGUUUCAGGUUCCACUCAUAUCUCUUAGAUACUGAUUUAGAUGCCAGCAUGGUGCUCAGAAUUUAUAUACAUCUUCUUUCUUUAUUUUACAGACCCGGUCUCACUCUUUGCUGAGCCUGGAGUGCAGAGGUGCGUUCACAGCUCACUGCAGCCUCCACCACCUGGGCUGAAGCGAUCCUUCCACCUCAGCCUCCAAAAAUGCUAGGAUUACAAGCAUGUGCCACCACAACACUGGGUGUAUAUAUAUAUAUAUAUUUUAAGA